GCCGAAGUGGCGGAACUGGCAGACGCAGGGGACUCAAAAUCCCCCGCCUGGCAACGGGCGUGAGGGUUCGACUCCCUCCUUCGGCACCA
rnacentral:tRNA from 1 species